UGAUAUUUUGCCUUCCAGUUGGAUCCUUGCAAGGAAUCAGGAGAGCUCUCCCAGCCAAUCACCACUGGAAACAAGUCCCAGAGAAGGAAUUUGAACCAGAUGGCAUUUUCAGAAGAAUGAGAAACCCCACCCACCAGGAAGCCCUUAAAUAGAAGUAAUAAUUAAGGAGUGACGCAAGGACCUGCACGUCCCUUGAAUGAGUUGAAGUCAAUUAUUUACAGUUCAAGUCAAUUGUCUACAGUUCUUCAAAAAUCCAACACAAGUCAUAUGUGUCUUUAGUAGCUUGGGAAUUCUUUACGCCCGAGUAAAAGUCUUAUUCAUAAACACAAAACGGAAUGCGCUCCAUGGCCGUUUUCAAAUAUUCUUCUUCAGUGUUCUUGCGUUCACUUCUAUUGACAGUCUGGGAUCUGAAUAUAUAUAAUCAUUGAUAAUAAUAAAAUAAUUAUAACAUCA